GUGCUCACUUUGGCAGCAAAUAUACUAAAAUUGGAAUGAUACAGAGACGAUUAGCAUGGUCCCUGUGCAAGAAAACAUUACUUUCAGGUUAUAUAAUGAAUUUUU